GAUGAACGCUGGCGGCGUGCUUAACACAUGCAAGUCGAACGAGAAGUGAAGACGGAAACCUUCGGGCGGAAGGCUUUUUUUCGGUGGGGGAAGGGUGGAGUACCGCGUGGGUACCCGGCCUCUAACAGGGGGAUAAAGGUGGGAAACGACUGUUAAUCCCGCAAAAGACCCCAGCACGGCAUGGUUCGGGGGAAAAAACUCCGGUGGUAUGAGAUGGACCGGCGUCCGAUUAGCCAGUUGGCGGGGUAACGGCCCACCAAAGCGACGAUCGAUAGCCGAUCUGAGAGGAGGACCGGCCACAUUGGGACUGAGACACGGCCCAAACUCCUACGGGAGGCAGCAGUGGGGAAUAUUGCACAAUGGGGGAAACCCUGAUGCAGCGACGCCGCGUGAGUGAAGAAGUAUUUCGGUAUGUAAAGCUCUAUCAGCAGGGAAGAAAAUGACGGUACCUGAGUAAGAAGCCCCGGCUAACUACGUG
rnacentral:rRNA from 1 species